rnacentral:misc_RNA from 1 species
UCGUACAAAAUGUGUGAGGCAUGCAAGGGCUGUCGCUGACUUUUGAUGCAAAAGUUGUGCACGCCAUGUGUCCUCUCACAUAAAAUCCAUCUCACCCUUUUGUGCACCACCGCGUGGGCACCCCCCGGGAUCAAACCCAAUCUCGGAGGGGGCUUGCGUUUUCACAAAAACCCCCCUUUUAAAAGUGUAGAAUGACCCCAUUUUUGUGAUAACACGCAAUCAAUA